AGACCCGAAACCGGGUGAUCUACCCAUGAGCAGGAUGAAGCGUUAGUAAAAUAACGUGGAGGUCCGAACCAGGCAUCGUUGAAAAGAUGUUGGAUGACUUGUGGGUAGGGGUGAAAUUCCAAUCGAACUCGGAGAUAGCUGGUUCUCCUCGAAAUAGCUUUAGGGCUAGCCUUAUUGAAAAGUUUUAUGGAGGUAGAGCACUGAAUGGACUAGGGGGCUUCACCGCCUACCGAAUCUUAUCAAACUGCGAAUGCCAUAAAAUGAUAAAUAGGAGUCAGACUGUGGGGGAUAAGCUUCAUGGUCAAAAGGGAAACAGCCCAGACCGCCGGCUAAGGUCCCAAAGUGUGUGUUAAGUGGAAAAGGAUGUGAAAUCGCUCAGACAACCAGGAUGUUGGCUCAGAAGCAGCCACCAUUAAAAGAGUGCGUAAUAGCUCACUGGUCCAGGGGUUUUGCGCCGAAAAUGUAACGGGGCUCAAACACACCACCGAAGCCGCGGAAUGUUUAAGGACAUUGGUAGAGGAGCGUUCUUAAUGCGACGAAGGCGUACCGAGAGGAGCGUUGGAGCGUUAAGAAGUGAGAAUGCCGGUAUUAGUAUGCGAAAAGGCAGGUGAGAAUCCUGCCCGCCGAAAAUCUAAGGAUUCCUGGGGAAGGCUCGUCCGCCCAGGGUAAGUCGGGACCUAAGGCGAGGCCGAAAGGCGUAGUCGAUGGGAAACUGGUAGAUAUUCCAGUACCAGCGGAGGUCAAUUGAGUGAAGUAGUGAAGCAGAAGGAUAGGGAGAGCGCCCAGUUGGUGAGGCGUUUAAGUAAGUAGGGUGAUGUGCAGGCAAAUCCACACAUCGAGAGCCUGAGAUACGAAUACGAGUGAAAACUAGUAGCGAAGUCCCCGAUUCCCGGCUGCCAAGAAAAGCUGCUAACGAGACCGAAGGUGCCCGUACCGCAAACCGACACAGGUAGAUGGGGUGAGAAACCUAAGGCGCGCGAGAAAACUCUUGUUAAGGAACUCGGCAAAAUGAACCCGUAACUUCGGGAGAAGGGUUGCUCAUUAGUGUGAGUAUCCGUGCGAUACAGAGCACAGAUGAGUCGCAGAGAAAAGGUCCAGGCGACUGUUUAGCAAAAACACAGGUCAUUGCAAAACCGCAAGGUGAAGUAUAAUGGCUGACGCCUGCCCGGUGCUGGAAGGUUAAGGGGAAGAGUGAGAGCUUUGAACCGAAGCCCCAGUAAACGGCGGCCGUAACAAUAACGGUCCUAAGGUAGCGAAAUUCCUUGUCGGGUAAGUUCCGACCCGCACGAA
rnacentral:rRNA from 1 species